AGGAACAACGCUGGCGGCGUGCCUAACGCAUGCAAGUCGAGCGGGCGCGACCUUACCGGGGUGCGGCAGCGGCGGACGGGUGAGGAACGCGUGGGCAACCUGCCCCGAAGUGGGGGGACAACCCCGGGAAACCGGAGCUGAUACCGCAUAUGUUCGCCCCCUUGUCGGGGGGUGAGCAAAGCCACAAGGCGCUUUGGGAGGGGCCUGCGUCCGAUUAGCUUGUUGGCGGGGUAACGGCCCACAAGGCGACGAUCGGUAGCUGGUCUGAGAGGACGACCAGCCACAGGGGAACUGAGACACGGUCCCCACACCUACGGGUGGCAGCAGCGAGGGAUUUUCGGCAAUGGGCGCAAGCCUGACCGAGCAACGCCGCGUGCGGGACGACGCCCUUCGGGGUGUAAACCGCUUUUCCCAGGGACGAGAAUGACGGUACCUGGGGAAUAAGCCUCGGCUAACUACGUGCCAGCAGCCGC
rnacentral:rRNA from 1 species